rnacentral:rRNA from 1 species
CUACGGGGGGCACCAGUGAGGAAUAUUGCACAAUGGGGGGAACCCUGAUGCAGCAACGCCGCGUGGAGGAUGACGCAUUUCGGUGUGUAAACUCCUUUUAUAUGUCAAGAAAAUGACGGUAGCAUAUGAAUAAGCACCGGCUAACUCCGUGCCAGCAGCCGCGGUAAUACGGAGGGUGCAAGCGUUACGCGGAAUCACUGGGCGUAAAGGACGCGUAGGCGGGCUUGUAAGUCAGGUGUGAAAUCCUACAGCUUAACUGUAGAACUGCACUUGAAACUACGAGCCUAGAGUAUGGGAGGGGGAGAUGGAAUUAGUGGUGUAGGGGUAAAAUCCGUAGAUAUCACUAGGAAUACCUAAAGCGAAGGCGAUCUCCUGGAACAUAACUGACGCUAAGGCGUGAAAGCGUGGGGAGCAAACAGGAUUAGAUACCCGAGUAGUC